rfam:Hordeum vulgare subsp. vulgare, WGS project CAJW01000000 data, contig: morex_contig_1450843
GGCGGCAUGGCCAAGCGGUAAGGGAGGGGACUGCAAAUCCUUUAUCCCCAGUUCAAAUCUGGGUGCCGCCU